GUGAACAAGCUGGAAAGCUUGGCGAUACAGGGUGAUAGCCCCGUAACCGACGCUUCAUCGAGCGUGAAAUCGAGUAGGGCGGGACACGUGAUAUCCUGUCUGAAUAUGGGGGGACCAUCCUCCAAGGCUAAAUACUCCUGACUGACCGAUAGUGAACCAGUACCGUGAGGGAAAGGCGAAAAGAACCCCUGUGAGGGGAGUGAAAUAGAACCUGAAACCGUGUACGUACAAGCAGUAGGAGCACCUUCGUGGUGUGACUGCGUACCUUUUGUAUAAUGGGUCAGCGACUUAUAUUCAGUGGCAAGGUUAACCGUAUAGGGGAGCCGUAGCGAAAGCGAGUCUUAACUGGGCGCUCAGUCUCUGGAUAUAGACCCGAAACCGGGUGAUCUAGCCAUGGGCAGGUUGAAGGUUGAGUAACAUCAACUGGAGGACCGAACCGACUAAUGUUGAAAAAUUAGCGGAUGACUUGUGGCUAGGGGUGAAAGGCCAAUCAAACUCGGAGAUAGCUGGUUCUCCCCGAAAGCUAUUUAGGUAGCGCCUCGGACGAAUACUACUGGGGGUAGAGCACUGUUAAGGCUAGGGGGUCAUCCCGACUUACCAACCCUUUGCAAACUCCGAAUAC
rnacentral:rRNA from 1 species